AACGAACGCUGGCGGCAUGCCUAACACAUGCAAGUCGAACGAGACCUUCGGGUCUAGUGGCGCACGGGUGCGUAACGCGUGGGAACCUGCCCUUAGGUUCGGAAUAACUCCCCGAAAGGGGUGCUAAUACCGGAUAAUGUCUUCGGACCAAAGAUUUAUCGCCUUUGGAUGGGCCCGCGUUGGAUUAGCUAGUUGGUAGGGUAAAAGCCUACCAAGGCGACGAUCCAUAGCUGGUCUGGGAGGAUGAUCAGCCACACUGGGACUGAGACACGGCCCAGACUCCUACGGGAGGCAGCAGUAGGGAAUAUUGGACAAUGGGCGAAAGCCUGAUCCAGCAAUGCCGCGUGAGUGAUGAAGGCCUUAGGGUUGUAAAGCUCUUUUACCCGGGAUGAUAAUGACAGUACCGGGAGAAUAAGCUCCGGCUAACUCCGUG
rnacentral:rRNA from 1 species